GACGUAGGGAGCGAGCGUUGUCCGGAUUCAUUGGGCGUAAAGCGCGCGUAGGCGGUUUGGUAAGUCGGAUGUGAAAACACGAGGCUCAACCUCGUGCGUGCAUCCGAUACUGCCCGACUAGAGGUAGGUAGGGGAGAUCGGAAUUCCUGGUGUAGCGGUGAAAUGCGUAGAUAUCAGGAGGAACACCGGUGGCGAAGGCGGCUCUCUGGACCACAACUGACGCUGAGGCGCGAAAGCCAGGGGAGCAAACAGG
rnacentral:rRNA from 1 species